CGAAGGGGGCUAGCGUUGUUCGGAAUUACUGGGCGUAAAGCGCGCGCAGGCGGUCUUCCAAGUCAGUGGUGAAAGCCCGGAGCUCAACUCCGGAACUGCCAUUGAAACUGUGAGACUUGAGGAUGAGAGAGGUGAGUGGAAUUCCCAGUGUAGAGGUGAAAUUCGUAGAUAUUGGGAAGAACACCGGUGGCGAAGGCGGCUCACUGGCUCAUUUCUGACGCUCAGGCGCGACAGCGUGGGGAUCAAACAGGAUUAGAUACCCUGGUAGUCCACGCCGUAAACGAUGAAUGCUAGCCGUUGGGCAGCUUGCUGUUCAGUGGCGCAGCUAACGCAUUAAGCAUUCCGCCUGGGGAGUACGGCCGCAAGGUUG
rnacentral:rRNA from 1 species